AUGAACGCUAGCGGCAGGCCUAACACAUGCAAGUCGAGGGGCAGCGAGAUGUAGCAAUACAUUGUCGGCGACCGGCGCACGGGUGCGUAACGCGUAUGCGACCUACCUAUAACGAGGGGAUAACCCAGAGAAAUUUGGACUAAUACCCCAUAUUAUUAUUGAGCUGCAUGGUUUGAUAAUGAAAGACUUUGGUUGGUUAUAGAUGGGCAUGCGUGACAUUAGCUAGUUGGUAAGGUAACGGCUUACCAAGGCGACGAUGUCUAGGGGAACUGAGAGGUUAAUCCCCCACACUGGUACUGAGACACGGACCAGACUCCUACGGGAGGCAGCAGUGAGGAAUAUUGGUCAAUGGUCGGAAGACUGAACCAGCCAUGCCGCGUGAAGGAAGAAUGUCCUAUGGAUUGUAAACUUCUUUUGUAAGGGAGCAAUAAGUUCCAUGCGUGGGAUGAUGAGAGUACCUUACGAAUAAGCAUCGGCUAACUCCGUG
rnacentral:rRNA from 1 species